rnacentral:rRNA from 1 species
GGCGUGCCUAACACAUGCAAGUCGAACGAUUUAAAUUUCGUAGCAAUACGGAGUUUAGAUAGUGGCGCACGGGUGAGUAUCACGUGAGUUAUCUGCCUUUAAGCCUGGGAUAACCUGCCGAAAGGCGGGCUAAUACCGGAUGAGACCACAGCAUCUACGGAUGCAGGGGUCAAAGCUGGCCUCUAUUUAUAAGCUAUCACUUGUAGAUGAGCUCGCGUCCCAUCAGCUAGUUGGUAAGGUAACGGCUUACCAAGGCUAUGACGGGUAGCUGGUCUGAGAGGACGACCAGCCACACUGGAACUGAGACACGGUCCAGACUCCUACGGGAGGCAGCAGUGGGGAAUAUUGCGCAAUGGGGGAAACCCUGACGCAGCAACGCCGCGUGGGUGAUGAAGGCCUUCGGGUCGUAAAGCCCUGUCAACAGGGAAGAAACCCCGGAGAUCUAAUAGGUCUCCGGAUUGACGGUACCUGUGGAGGAAGCACCGGCUAACUCCGUGCCAGCCGCCGCCGUAAUAC